CAGCAGCCGCCACGGGAAUACGUAGGGUGCGAGCGUUAAUCGGAAUUACUGGGCGUAAAGCGUGCGCAGGCGGUUUUGUAAGACAGGCGUGAAAUCCCCGGGCUCAACCUGGGAAUGGCGCUUGUGACUGCAAAGCUAGAGUGCGGCAGAGGGGGAUGAAAUUCCGCGUGUAGCAGUGAAAUGCGUAGAUAUGCGGAGGAACACCGAUGGCGAAGGCAAUCCCCUGGGCCUGCACUGACGCUCAUGCACGAAAGCGUGGGGAGCAAACAGGAUUAGAUACCCCGGUAGUCCCUGUCUCUUAUAC
rnacentral:rRNA from 1 species